UCGGGAAUUUUGGGCAAUGGGCGAAAGCCUGACCCAGCAACGCCGCGUGAAGGAUGAAAUCCUUCGGGAUGUAAACUUCGCAAGAACGGGAAGAAUAAGUAAGAGCUAACAUCUCUUACGAUGACGGUACUGUUUGUAAGCUCCGGCUAACUCCGUGCCAGCAGCCGCGGUAAUACGGGGGGAGCAAGCGUUGUUCGGAUUUACUGGGCGUAAAGGGCGCGUAGGCGGCCACCGCAAGUCGACUGUGAAAUCUCCGGGCUUAACCCGGAAAGGUCAGCCGAUACUGCGGGGCUAGAGUGCAGAAGGGGCAACUGGAAUUCUCGGCGUAGCGGUGAAAUGCGUAGAUAUCGAGAGGAACACCUGCGGCGAAGGCGGGUUGCUGGGCUGACACUGACGCUGAUGCGCGAAAGCUAGGGGAGCGAACGGGAUUAGAUACCCCGGUAGUCCUAGCCUUAAACGAUGAAUGCUUGGUGUCUGGGGUUUUAUAGUCCCCGGGUGCCGUCGCUAACGCUUUAAGCAUUCCGCCUGGGGAGUACGGUCGCAAGACUGC
rnacentral:rRNA from 1 species